rnacentral:rRNA from 1 species
UACGGGGGGGGCAAGCGUUGUUCGGAAUUACUGGGCGUAAAGGGCUCGUAGGCGGCCAACUAAGUCAGACGUGAAAUCCCUCGGCUUAACCGGGGAACUGCGUCUGAUACUGGAUGGCUUGAAUCCGGGAGAGGGAUGCGGAAUUCCAGGUGUAGCGGUGAAAUGCGUAGAUAUCUGGAGGAACACCGGCGGUGUAGACGGCUUACUGGACCAUUACUGACGCUGAGGCACGAAAGUGUGGGGAGCAAACAGG